rnacentral:tRNA from 1 species
GGACUGUUAGCUCAGCUGUUUAAAGUGUGGAGCUAAUAACGCCAAGGUUGCAGGUUCGAUCCCUGUACAGGCCA